UACAGAGGCCCCAAGCAUUACCCGGAAUUACUGGGCGUAAAGGGUGCGUAGGUGGUCGUAUUAGUCGUCUGUGAAAUCUCCCGGCUCAACUGGGAAAACGCGGGCGAAACGGUACGACUAGAGAGCGUGAGAGGUACAUGGAACUCAUGGUGUAGGGGUGAAAUCCGUUGAUAUCAUGGGGAACACCGAAAGCGAAGGCAAUGUACUGGCGCGUUUCUGACACUCAAGCACGAAAGCGUGGGUAGCGAACGGG
rnacentral:misc_RNA from 1 species